UACAGAGGUCUCGAGCGUUAGGCGGAAUCACUGGGCUUAAAGCGUGUGUAGGUGGAUGCCUAAGUACCUUGUGAAAUCCCCACGGCUUAACCGUGGAACUGCUUGGUAUACUGGGUGUCUUGAGUCACUCAGGGGCGAGCGGAACAAAUGGUGGAGCGGUGAAAUGCGUAGAUAUCAUUUGGGAACGCCAAUGGGUGAAAACAGCUCGCUGGGGGUGCACUGACACUGAGACACGGAAAGCCAGGGGAGCGAACGGG
rnacentral:rRNA from 1 species